CCUACGUGUGGCAGCAGUGAGGAAUAUUGGUCAAUGGACGAGAGUCUGAACCAGCCAAGUAGCGUGAAGGAUGACUGCCCUAUGGGUUGUAAACUUCUUUUAUAAAGGAAUAAAACGAGGCACGUGUGCCUUUUUGCAUUUACUUUAUGAAUAAGGAUCGGCUAACUCCGUGCCCGCAGCCGCGGUAAUACGGCGGAUCCGAGCGUUAUCCGGCUGUAUUGGGUUUAAAGGGAGCGUAGAUGGGUUGUUAAGUCAGGUGUGCAAGUUUGCGGCGCAACCGUAAAAUUGCAAUUGAUACUGGCAGUCUUGAGUACAGUUGAGGUAGGCGGAAUUCGUGGUGUAGCGGUGAAAUGCUUAGAUAUCACGAAGAACCCCGAUUGCGAAGGCAGCUUACUAAACUGUGACUGACAUUGAUGCUCGAAAGUGUGGGUAUCAAACAGGAUUAGAUACCCCUGGAGUC
rnacentral:rRNA from 1 species